UGAUAGGAUCAUAUUUUUCUAUGCUAACGAUGGGUAAAAAAGAAACUUUCAUUCAGAUAGGAUCAUCUUUUUCUUCGGGUUCUUUUUCAGAAGUGCUCAACAUAACCUUAUCAAGCUUAUUUAGUAUACUGUGGAUGUUCUUGAAGCAAUGACAGGUUGAAGCAAUGGCCUACAUGGUUAUAUGCCUUUCACUAGCUUCAUUAGACAAUGGAAGAUAUUGUAAGUUUCUAUUUCUGCUUGAUUCUCUUUCAGUUCCUGGGUCAAUAAGUGAUUAAUAUAAUCAUCUGUAAAUAGUAAGUGUUUGAAGGUAUUUGUUGCAAAAGAUAGAUAGUUUUUCACUAGCCUUGAUCUGCCAAUAAAUUGUGCAAAGCUUGAGGAUUCAUAUAGUGUCCAUGAGACCAUGAUUGAUUAUUUAUAAGAUAUGCCAUUAUCAAUUUACAGGGCCAUUUACCAUUGUGUUGAAGUCCAGCAGACCUGAUGAGAGAAUGUUUUCUUUUAGGCAUAAUAUGGUCAACGAAAUUCCUCUUAUGCAUUGAUUCUAUUAUGUCUGUCCUUGGUGUUUGGUUUAUGCAUCAGCACUGCAAACGGAAACGUAAUAAGGUCGCUGUGUGUUCGCUCUCGUAAUGGCCUUAACUCCCUUCUUGAGAGGAGCUUGUGGUUUAAAUGUCCUGUGAAUAGGAGUUGUUUACAUCGAGUUUUGGUAGAUUGAUGCAGUGCUGGGUCUGCUAUUCAUGUCCUGCUGGGCUCUGAAAUUUUCAGCAACUUCACCUCUAUAUCAUGUGAUGCGCGUUCAUUUCUGUUGACCUCUGCACUGCAAUUCUAUUUAUCGAUUCAGUGUAACUGCAGCUAGCUCUUUUUUUGAAUUACCCUGCUAAUUAUCUGUGCCAGAUCUCUUGUAGUUUGCUAAGCAAGUAUAUGAAUAUUUAUAUUUAAAAUAUUUAUUAUCUAAGAUUAUAUGAUGCAUAUGUGGUGUUAUGGUCAAUAUUUUUUAAUUUUUCCCAAAAUUGUAGAAAGUUUUUUGAUAAUGUGGAUGGUUAAGAAUAAGGUUCCUGGAAUUUAACUUGCAGAAAUGACACAUAACUAUGCUUUGGCAAAAGGUGAGAACGACAAUUUCUGAUAGAACUAGCUGGUCCGCUUGGUGUUUGGUGAAGAUAAACAACCAUAAGGUAGUAAGGUACAUGACUAUGCUUCUAUUAUUAUUUUUUUUAAAAUACAUUUCCCCUACAUCAUGCCGUCAAUAUAAUCUGCAGCAUUAAGAUUAUAUUUUUGGUAAUUAUUUUCUCAUAUUCCUUUAUGCGUCAAUAUAACUUGCUCUUCAGUUGUGUUUCCUUCUCAGUUCUAUUGUCACAUCUUCUGAUCUGUCAGUAGCUCCACCAUAUUUUUCCUGUUACUCUACUUAAGCAGCUUCAUUGCUUGGUUGCACAUUGAAUGUCCUGACAAAUGGGAGCAUUGCUAGCAGAUUUCUCCUCUGGAUAACCAUACCAAACAUGAGGGAAUCGCCUUCAACACAAGGGGAGCCAUCUACGUCUGCUACAGUUUGUUGAAUUUCCAAAUUUUCCCUGCUGUUAUCCCAUGCACUGAAUUGCCUUAACUUCGUUCAACUCUUAUCCCUUGGUCAGGCAGAUUGCAGUGGAAGCCCCUCUCAAGAAAACACAGGUCAAAUGGUGCCUUCACAUGUUUUUCAGAAUAGAGCUUUGCUGUUUCAAGGCCUUGUAGAGCGUGCACAGAAACUGUUCGGGAUCAAAGCUUUUUUUUUUUGAAGAAAUGGGUCAAAGCUUACCUACAAUUGAGGAUGGGACAGCCGGAUUCUUGGAGAUCUUGGACUCUGUGUGGUCAGCAAAAGCACCAAAAUGAAUGUCGUUGCGGAUGAUUUGUAAAAAUGCUUUCAAUGAAAGAUGUUAUCUGAACUGUCUCAUGUGAACCGUCUCACUGCUCUUCAGAAAAAAUGAGCAAAAGCUACCUGAUUCAGUUGUUUACUUGUUGGUUCCAGGCCAGUUGGUUACCACGCGGAUUGUGAGCUAUCAGUUUCCAACUUUUUUAUGCUAACAUUUUUAUAGGUCUGUUUAGUAACCAUGGAUACUUCUCCAAGAUGGGUCUAGCUUGUCAUAUUGCCAAAGUUCAUACUGAGUCUUCAUUGAGUAAAAACACAGAAGAUAAAGGAAUACAUAGAAGAAAUAUUUUGGGGUCAAGGAAAACGAGCGCUACUUCUCGGUCAUAGCAAGAGCAGUGUAGAUUCGGCUGCAGUACUCGUCGUAUUAGGCACGUGCAACUGACUAUCCAAUUUGUGUAUUGCGAGACCACAGCAUUGUUACAAGGUUUCCUCAACUCCAAGUGUGCAUGGUCAAUUUGCAAUGAGGAGUUGGAUUCAUCAGGCGAUGACGUGUUAUACCUGCCGAAGUGUAUCCAUAGGUUUCACAUCUAUUGCAUCAUCAAAUGGUUCAGACAAUCGGCUACAUGCCCAGUGUGCCGUCAUGAUUAUUCAAAUUUUAUUUCUGAAGAUUACAUGCUUAUGUGUGAGAGAAUGUUGACUAACCAUGUGAACGACAAUCAGUAGAUGAACCAACUUUUUGCCCCAUUGUAAUAAGCACUGUAAUUUUCAUA